AGGAGCUGGGAAUACAGGGUGAAUCAGCUAAGCCCUGCUUCUAAGAGAGGCAUGCCGUUAAAGGGGAAAGACGCUUAUGUGGUAACUAUGCAACUCAAGUGUCACUACUAGAGGAUCUGGAGGUGUAUUUGUUAGUAAAGGCAUGGCUACCUAUGCUUGGAAACAGCCAAUAUGCUGAGGUGACAGAAACAGAAAGCAGAAGCUGUGAGAGCCUGUGCAUGAGUUAGUCACCUAUGAGGGACACUGAUGUGCUGAAGAGAAGGCUGCAGAGGCCUCACGUAUACCAGCCUGAGCGUGCUCCCAGGACAAGGGGAUGGAAACCAGCGAGAAGCAGAGUGAAGUCCUGAAGCUGAGUGUUGUAAUGUCUGGGUAGACCUGUGGGAAAGCUGGCUGCAGCCUCAGGAUGGAGGUCUGGAAGACAGAAGGUACACAAGGGGCCCCUCUCCAUCCACUCACCAGGGCCUGUUGCUUCUGGGCUUCCUCCAGCCAGAGGCUCCAGAUCUUCAUCGCCAUCUGGGUGGGAGGUCAGGUUGGGUCUUGGGGGGUCUGCAGGGAGAGAACAGCAUUGUCAUCCAACCAGGACAUGGAGGACCAUCCAGACACUCAGUGAGAACCUCCUGGCUCUCCUGACUUUUCUAUGCUUUACCCUGCACAUAGCUCCUGUGUGUGGGCCAGGUGCUGCACUGGGCGACUCUGGGGAUGCCUGUCCUGUAGGGUUCCCAGUCCAGUGAUGGAGAGGGAGCCAAACAAUCACAAUCCAGGGUGAUCAAAGCUGUGACAGCUGGGGCUGGGGACACAAAGGACUUGUGACAGCUCUUUAACGGGCAGGAUCUGCCAGGUGGGGAGGCACGUACUUCCUUAGCCAUUCAUGAUUCAUUCACUGACCCGUGGGCCACACAUUGCCUGAGGCCUCCAUGGGCCAGGGACAGAAGAUGUCAGGGUCCCAGAGCCCAAGCAGUCCUGAGCCGUACCCUCCACAAGCUUCCCCAAGGAAGGGAACAGAGUCAUCAUCCAGGAGGGAUACAGGCCACAGCGGAGAAGACGCCACUACUGUCUUUGAAGACUGAGAAGCCAUGAGUCAAGCAAUACAGGUGACCUCCAGAAGCUGGCAACAGGCCAGGAAAGACUAUCUAUGUGCUGGAGCCUCCAGAAGGAACACGGUGGCCCUGCCAACACCUCGCCUCCAGCCCAGCCACAUGCAUUUGGAACUCCUGGCCUCCAGGACUGUAACAUAAUAAAAGUGUGCUGGUGGAA